CACACUCCUCAGCUGCUGAGGAAUGGGGGAGCUGGAAGGAACAUACAGAGUCCUGCAGACCCCGGGGGCACGCCUGGGCACCGCGACCCCCGCGGGCGUCAGCACCCUGGAGCCCGGUCAGGGCCCCCCGGCGAGGGUGGCGCGGCCAGCGGCUCGGACGCACCUCCGCGUGCAGCUGCUGGACGACUCCGUGGAGCUGUUUGACGUCGAGCCUAAGUGCGAUGGCCAGGUGCUACUGACGCGGGUGUGGCAGCGCUUGAAUCUCAUAGAGUGUGACUACUUCGGCCUGGAGUUUCAGAACGUGCAGUCCUGCUGGAUCUGGCUUGAACCUAUGAAACCCAUCAUUAGACAAGUACAAAGACCGAAGAGUGCACUGCUUCGCCUGGCGGUGAAGUUCUUCCCACCGGACCCGGGUCAGUUGCAAGAGGAAUACACACGAUACUUGUUCGCCCUGCAGCUCAAGAGAGACCUUCUGGAGGAGCGUCUGACCUGCACGGACACCACGGCUGCCCUCCUGGCGUCCCAUCUCCUGCAGGCGGAAGUCGGGGACUACGAUGAGGUGCUGGACCGGGAGCACCUGCGCACCCGCGAGUAUGUGCCGCGGCAGGAGCGCGCCCUGCACAGGAUCCUGGCAUUUCACCGCGAGCUCGCGGGCCAGACGCCAGCUGAGUCAGACUUCCAGGUGCUGGAAAUUGCCCGGAAGCUGGACAUGUACGGCAUCAGAUUUCACUCGGCUUCUGACCGGGAGGGGGCCAAGAUCAAGCUGGCCGUUUCACACACGGGCAUCCUGGUGUUCCAGAGCAGCACCAGAAUCAACACUUUCAACUGGUCCAGGCUCCGAAAGCUCAGCUUCAAGAGGAAAAGGUUUCUCAUCAAACUCCACCCGGAGGUCCAUGGGCCCUACCAGGACACCCUGGAGUUCGUGUUGGGCAGCAGAGACGAAUGUAAGAGCUUCUGGAAGAUCUGUGUGGAGCAUCACACCUUCUUCAGACUCUCUGAUCAGCCCAAGCCGAAAGCUAAAGCCGUCCUCUUCAGCAGAGGCUCCUCCUUCAGAUACAGUGGAAGAACUCAGAAACAGCUUGCUGACUAUGUCAAAGGCGGUGGGAUGAAGAGGGCUCCGUAUGAAAGGAGACACAGCAAGACCCGGAUGUCUCUCCGCGCCCUCAAGGUGGACUUGCCACGGCAGAGCACCUCAUUCUCCGAGGCUGUGACGACUCCUGUGACGCCAUCGCCCACAGCCGCCUCCUUCUGCUCGGCCCCUGCGUCCCCUCCAGUUCCCCCGGGCCCACGCGAUUUCCAGGUCGGCGGCAGCAGCUCCGAGACGGGCCCCCCCGCACCCGGCGCCCGGCGGCCAGCUGCAGAGAGGAGCUCCGUGGCCACGGCCCAGCGCCCCCGGCUGCCUGCGCUCCAGCCUCACCAAGGCCUUUCCGUGGAGAGUCCUCAGCCUUCUCCCUCCACCCAGAGGAGCCCGCCAGGCCUGAGCCCCCAGGGCCCAGCCGCGCAGGGCCCCAGCCCCCUCCUGGGCCCCGUCCUCGCUGACGCCGCUGGAGCCAGGACGGACGACCGGGAGGAGCCGAGACGCAAGUGCGUGCCUACGGACGAGGCAUAUUUCAUAGCAAAGGAGAUUCUCGCUACAGAACGAACAUGCCUGAAGGAUUUAGAAGUUAUUACCGUGUGGUUCCGGAGCGCGGUGGUCAAGGCGGACGCCAUGCCUGCAGACCUGAUGACCUUGCUCUUCUCCAACAUCGACCCCAUCUACGAGUUCCACAGAGGCUUCCUUCGUGAGGUGGAGCAGAGGCUGGUGCUCUGGGAGGAAUCUUCUAGCACCCAGGCCACAGGCAGUCACCAGCGCAUCGGGGACAUCCUGCUCAGGAACAUGCUUCAGUUAAAGGCGCUCACCGGCCACUUCCAGCGGCUGCACGAGAUCCUGACGGAGCUGGAGGCGGCCAGCCGGCGCCUGCGGAGGCUGGAGGCGCUGCGCCGCGACUUCGAGCUGCAGAAGGUCUGCUACCUGCCGCUCAACGCCUUCCUGCUGAAGCCGCUGCAGCGCCUGCGCCACUACCGCCUGCUGCUGCGCCGCCUGUGCGCCCCGGUGCCCGGGGACCCCGACCCGCGCGGCCAGGACCACACCGACCUCCGCGAUGCCCUGCAGGCCAUCACAGAAGUGACCUCCGAGCUCCAACACAGCCUGGUCCAGCUGGAGAGCCUGCAGAAGCUGACGGAGCUGCAGCGCGACUUGGUCGGCAUAGAGAGCCUCGUCGCUCCCGGCAGGGAGCUCGUCCGCGAGGGCUGCCUCCUCAAGCUCACCAGGAAGGGCCUGCAACAGAGGAUGUUCUUCCUGUUCUCAGACAUGCUGCUGUACGCGAGCAGAGACGCCGCGGGGAGCGGCCACUUCCAGAUCCGGGGCCUCCUCCCGCUGCGCGGCAUGCUGCUGAUAGUGCUGGACCCGCCGGUGGAGGAUCGGGAGAGUGAGCGGUCUGUGCCGCACUGCUUCACCAUCUACGCGGCUCGGAAGACCAUCGUGGUGGCGGCCAGCACCCGGCUGGAGAAGGCCAAGUGGCUGCAUGACCUGAACGCGGCCAUCGACGCAGUCAAGACUGGCAGCGCUCCGGCGCCCCCGGCCUGCGUGCUGUGCCCUCUGCCCCGUGGGUUCCCCGACGAGGCCUCUAUGGAGCCGGAGUCCGGGGACGAGGCUGGUGGGGCCCGGGGCUCCGUGGUGGGAACAGGCCAGCUCCGCGCCAGUACCACCGCGCACGUGUGCUGGUGCCGCCAGACCAGCGUAUCCAGGGCCGACCACAGCGCAGCCGGCGAGAACCAGCUUUCUGGAUACCUGCUGAGGAAGUUCAAGAACAGCAGUGGCUGGCAAAAGCUCUGGGUGGUCUUUACCAAUUUCUGUUUGUUCUUCUACAAAACUCAUCAGGACGACCACCCCCUGGCCAGCCUCCCGUUGCUGGGCUACAGCGUGAGCCUGCCCAGGGACACUGACAGCAUCCACAAGGAGCAUGUCUUCAAGCUCCAGUUCAAGUCCCACGUCUACUUCUUCCGGGCCGAGAGCAAGUACACGUUCAGGAGGUGGAUGGAGGUGAUAGAGAGAGCCAGCGCCUCAGCUGGGAGGGCCGGGACCCCUGAGGAGGAGGCCUGAGGCCCACCCUGCCCCAGACGCAGACAGCCGAGCAAGCAAGGCCAGCACGCACCCCACGACUGCUUGUUCCCCCAGGAGACUGGUGGCAGGCGAGCCUCCGGCGCCACCUGGCAGGGAGGGCUGCCCUGGGCCCCGCGAGGCGCCAGGAGGGCAGCAGGGGGAGCAGGCGCGCUCUGUGCAGGCAAGGCUGGCGCUGCCCCGCCCUCAACCACCUGCCCUCCUCUUCCUCCUCCUGGGCCGGGCCUCCCGUCAGGCUGGGUGAUGUGAGGGGUCUAGGCACAGAAGCCUCUCUGGUGCCCCCGGGCCCACACUUCUGAAAAGUGGACAGCAAGCCCCUCUAAUUUAUCCCAAGAAGUGUACGGUGCUCAUGCGCCGAGUGGCUGAGAAUAAAAGGCUUCUUCAUGCUUGGUCCCA
rnacentral:lncRNA from 1 species